rnacentral:rRNA from 1 species
GAUGAACGCUGGCGGCGUGCCUAAUACAUGCCAGUCGAGCGAACAGACGAGGAGCUUGCUCCUCUGACGUUAGCGGCGGACGGGUGAGUAACACGUGGAUAACCUACCUAUAAGACUGGGAUAACUUCGGGAAACCGGAGCUAAUACCGGAUAAUAUAUUGAACGGCAUGGUUCAAUAGUGAAAGACGGUUUUGCUGUCACUUAUAGAUGGAUCCGCGCCGCAUUAGCUAGUUGGUAAGGUAACGGCUUACCAAGGCAACGAUGCGUAGCCGACCUGAGAGGGUGAUCGGCCACACUGGAACUGAGACACGGUCCAGACUCCUACGGGAGGCAGCAGUAGGGAAUAUUCCGCAAUGGGCGAAAGCCUGACGGAGCAACGCCGCGUGUGUGAUGAAGGUCUUCGGAUCGUAAAGCUCUGUUAUUAGGGAAGAACAAAAGUGUAAGUAACUAUGCACGUCUUGACGGUACCUAAACAGAAAGCCACGGCUAACUACGUG